rnacentral:rRNA from 1 species
AGUGAACGCUGGCGGUAGGCCUAACACAUGCAAGUCGAACGGCAGCACAGUAAGAGCUUGCUCUUACGGGUGGCGAGUGGCGGACGGGUGAGGAAUACAUCGGAAUCUACUUUUUCGUGGGGGAUAACGUAGGGAAACUUACGCUAAUACCGCAUACGACCUACGGGUGAAAGCAGGGGAUCUUCGGACCUUGCGCGAUUGAAUGAGCCGAUGUCGGAUGAGCUAGUUGGCGGGGUAAAGGCCCACCAAGGCGACGAUCCGUAGCUGGUCUGAGAGGAUGAUCAGCCACACUGGAUCUGAGACACGGUCCAGACUCCUACGGGAGGCAACAGUGGGGAAUAUUGGACAAGGGGCGCAAGCCUGAUCCAGCCAUACCGCGUGGGUGAAGAAGGCCUUCGGGUUGUAAAGCCCUUUUGUUGGGAAAGAAAAGCAGCAGGUUAAUACCCCGCUGUUCUGACGGUACCCAAAGAAUAAGCACCGGCUAACUUCGUG